GUAGUUAUGAGCUGUGAUUCUCUCUCCUCAGCUAAAGGAAGAGAGUGAAUUCCCACCUGAGAAUCUCAGCUUGCCUUCCGAACCAGAGCGAAUACUUUGAAGACUCUCAAGGGAAAACCAGGGCCUUUCUGUCUCAGAGCUUCAAGUCAGUGACAGGUUGUGAAGCACCUCGAGACCACCUUCCUCCUCACAGGCUGGAGGGAACAAGGUUCUCGGAGCCUCGACUUCCACCUCUGGAAUACAGGAUGCCGAUGUUUCUGGAAGAUGGAUCAGCAGGGAGGAGGAGGUACAAAGGCUCUCUGAGUUGGCUUCCUGGACACCAAGAGCAGGACAGCAUCUGCUGGUCACUCAGAUGUCCAUGUAUACUACCCAGCAGCCCCGGGAAGGUACCCGGGCACCACCACCCUGCAGCCGCCAGGGUUGCGUUCUAGAACCCUGCUGAGUCAGAACGGUAGCCCCACAGCCUCCAGUGGGGUACACGGUAACCUGUCCAACCUCCUCGUCUCUCAUUGCCACCGCUGCACCAGCUUCUGGGCAGGAGGAACCCCCCAAUGCCCAGGCUGUAUCCCUUCCAUUUUGUCUCUCCCUGUUUUCUGGCAUAUAAGUUUUAGCAUGCUUGCAUCUCAUACGUCACGCUUUAUGGCCGUUUGCAGUGCAAUUUUAUUCCCGUCCUGCCAUUCAAUUUGAAUUAAAUAUCAAACAGAUG